AGAGUUUGAUCCUGGCUCAGAGUGAACGCUGGCGGCGUGGAUUAGGCAUGCAAGUCGAGCGAUCCUGAAGCAGUUUUUUCGCUUUGGGAUAGCGGCAGACGGGUGAGUAAUGCGUGAGUAAUUUACCUUUAAGUUGAACAUAGCUUCGAGAAAUCGGAGGUAAUAUUUGAUGUGCCUUAUAGAGCAUAAGCUCAUUAAGGUAAAGCCGGGGAUCUUGAGCAAUCAAGACCUGUCGCUUAAAGAUGAGCUCACGUCCUAUCAGCUUGUUGGUAGGGUAAUGGCCUACCAAGGCAUUUGACGGGUAGCUGGUCUGAGAGGAUGGUCAGCCACACUGGGACUGAGACACUGCCCAGACUCCUACGGGAGGCUGCAGUCGAGAAUCUUUAGCAAUGGGCGAAAGCCUGACUAUGCGACGCCGCGUGAGGGAUGAAGGUUUUCGGAUCUUAAACCUCUUUCGAUGGGGAAGAAUAUCCAGUACUAUAACAUAGUAUUGGACUGACGGUACCUAGAGAAGAAGCCACGGCCAACUCCGUGCCAGCAGCCGCGGUAAUACGGAGGUGGCAAGCGUUACUCGGAUUCAUUGGGUGUAAAGGGUAGGUAGGUGUUCCGAUAAGUUUCAGGUGAAAUCCUUGUGCUUAACACAAGAACUGCCUGAAAAACUAUCGGAAUUGAGUGCAAGAGAGGAAAACGGAAUUCCCGGUGUAAGUGUGAAAUCUGUAGAUAUCGGGAGGAACACCAGUGGCGAAGGCGGUUUUCUGGAUUGCAACUGACACUGAACUACGAAAGCUAGGGGAGUAAACAGGAUUAGAUACCCUGGUAAUCCUAGCCGUAAACGAUGAGCACUAGGUGUUGGCUCGAAAGAGUCAGCGCCGUAAGAUAACUCGUUAAGUGCUCCACCUGGGGACUACGAUCGCAAGGUUAAAACUCAAAGGAAUUGACGGGGGCCCGCACAAGCGGUGGAACAUGUGGUUCAAUUCGAUGCUACGCGAAGAACCUCACCAGGGCUUGACAUAUAGGUAGUAAGAACCCGAAAGGGGGAUGACUCGUCAAGCCGAGUGCCUAUACAGGUGCUGCAUGGCUGUCGUCAGCUCGUGUCGUGAGAUGUUGGGUUAAGUCCCGCAACGAGCGCAACCAUCAUCUUUAGUUGCUAGCAUAGGCCCGCAAGGGUUUGAUGAGCACUCUAAGAGACUGCCUGCGAUAAGCAGGAGGAAGGCGGAGACGACGUCAAGUCCGUAUGGCCUUUAUGCCCUGGGCUACACACGUGUUACAAUCCUCACUACAAUGCGUUGCCAAACCGCGAGGUGGAGCUAAUCGCAAAAAAGUGGGGUCAGUUCGGAUUGGAGUCUGCAAUUCGACUCCAUGAAGCUGGAAUCGCUAGUAAUGGCGGAUCAGCAAUGCCGCCGUGAAUACGUUCCCGGGCCUUGUACACACCGCCCGUCAAGCGAUGGGAGCUGGGGGUACCCGAAGUCUCUGAGCAAUCAGGGCCGAAGGUAAAACUAGUGACUGGCGCUAAGUCGUAACAAGGUA
rnacentral:rRNA from 1 species